CCAAAUAAGCGAUGAUCGCUCUUCGAAGCUCCAUAAGGAGCGAGGGGGAGAGGAAAGUCCGGACUUCAACUGCCCCUUUGGGGCAGAAAUGGUAACGGGUAACGCCCGUCCUUUUAAUAGCAAUAUUAAAAGAGGACCAGUGCCACAGAGACGACUCUAGUCCACCGAAUCCUCGUGCGAAGGUGGACAAAAGGUGAAAAGUGUUUUGAUGUUUUUGUUCUCGAGACAAAAGCUACAAAACUCGGCCUCUAGCAAUAGAGCAACCGCGGUAAACUCUACCUGAAGCAAGGACAAAUCCACCAAUGCCUUUGGCAUGGGUGGAGCUAAGUAGUCCGCUUGAGCCCUUAGGUAACUAACGGCCCAGAUAGAUGAUCAUCUCUCUCCGUAGCUCCAAAGGAGCGUAGGAGAGAACAAAAUCCGGCUUAUGCUUAUUUGGAUUU
rnacentral:RNase_P_RNA from 2 species